GGGUAACUUGGGAUAGUAAGCCAGGUAGAAGGCCAGUGCUCCCACAAAACUGUCUCCAGCUCCCUAGAAUAAAAUAACAAGUUCAAGCAUUCUCGCACAGGGAAACACACUGAUUGCAGGAGUCAGGAAGGUGUUCAGGAGUUGAGUUCAAUUCACUUUUCUAUGCCUAGAAAAUUCUGCCAUGUUAAACUAACGCCACCAUACUAUCUUUCUGCCCAGCUGUUGAAUCAAGGUACAAGCUAUAAUAUGGCUUAAAACUUCAAGAAAAGGAAAAGCUAGUGUGCUACAGUUCAGCAAUGUGCUGUUAUAAACACUGUUUUUGAAACUUCCUGUUGCUGGAGUGUCUGAUUUUGAUUGCUCAACCUGAAUGUUUCAUUAAAGCUAUUUUUCUCUCA